CAGUCGAACGGACUCAUAUUGAAACCUAGUGAUUUAUGAGUUAGUGGCGGACGCGUGAGUAACGCGUGGAUAACCUGCCGUAUACCGGGGGAUAACACUUAGAAAUAGGUGCUAAUACCGCAUAAGCGCACGGCUCCGCAUGGGGCAGUGUGAAAAACUCCGGUGGUAUACGAUGGAUCUGCGUCUGAUUAGCUUGUUGGCGGGGUAACGGCCCACCAAGGCAGCGAUCAGUAGCCGGCCUGAGAGGGUGGACGGCCACAUUGGGACUGAGACACGGCCCAAACUCCUACGGGAGGCAGCAGUGGGGAAUAUUGCACAAUGGGGGAAACCCUGAUGCAGCGACGCCGCGUGAGUGAAGAAGUAUCUCGGUACGUAAAGCUCUAUCAGCAGGGAAGAAAAUGACGGUACCUGACUAAGAAGCCCCGGCUAACUACGUGCCAGCAGCCGCGGUAAUACGUAGGGGGCAAGCGUUAUCCGGAUUUACUGGGUGUAAAGGGAGCGUAGACGGCAGCACAAGUCUGGAGUGAAAUCCCGGGGCUUAACCCCGGAACUGCUUUGGAAACUGUGCGGCUGGAGUGCAGGAGGGGUAAGCGGAAUUCCUAGUGUAGCGGUGAAAUGCGUAGAUAUUAGGAGGAACACCAGUGGCGAAGGCGGCCUGCUGGACGAUAACUGACGUUG
rnacentral:rRNA from 1 species